CCUACGGGACGCUGCAGUGGGGAAUAUUGCACAAUGGGCGAAAGCCUGAUGCAGCAACGCCGCGUGAAGGAAGACGGUUUUCGGAUUGUAAACUUCUUUUGUCAGGGAGCAAAGGGCGCCACGUGUGGCGUUUUGCGAGUACCUGAAGAAAAAGCAUCGGCUAACUCCGUGCCAGCAGCCGCGGUAAUACGGAGGAUGCGAGCGUUAUCCGGAUUUAUUGGGGUUAAAGGGUGCGCAGGCGGAAUGUCAAGUCAGCGGUAAAAUUUCGGGGCUCAACCCCGUCGUGCCGUUGAAACUGGCGUUCUUGAGUGAGCGAGAAGUAUGCGGAAUGCGUGGUGUAGCGGUGAAAUGCAUAGAUAUCACGCAGAACUCCGAUUGCGAAGGCAGCAUACCGGCGCUCAACUGACGCUCAUGCACGAAAGCGUGGGUAUCGAACAGGAUUAGAUACCCCAGUAGUC
rnacentral:rRNA from 1 species